CCUACGGGCGGCAGCAGUGGGGAAUAUUGGACAAUGGUGGAAACCCUGAACCAGCGACGCCGCGUGCGGGAAGACGGUUUUCUGGUUUUAAACCUCUGUCAGUGCGGACGUUAAUUGCGGUACCCACGGAGGAAGCCACGUCUAACUCCGUGCCAGCAGCCGCGGUACUACGUAGGUGGCAAGCGUUGUCCGGAAUUACUGGGUGUAAAGGGGGCGUAGGCGGGAUGUCAAGUCAGAAGUGAAAAUUAUGGGCUCAACUCAUAACCUGCGUUUGAAACUGAUAUUCUUGAGUGCAGUAGAGGCAAGCGGAAUUCCUAGUGUAGCGGUGAAAUGCGUAGAUAUUAGGAGGAACACCAGUGGCGAAGGCGGCUUGCUGGGCUUUUACUGACGCUGAGGCUCGAAAGCGUGGGGAGCAAACAGGAUUAGAUACCCGGGUAGUC
rnacentral:rRNA from 1 species